GGGGGGCCCUGGAAGCGAGCCCCAGACCCAGGCCGAGCUCCCAAAGCAUGCUCAGUGUUGGGAAGAAGGCCAAACAGCAGUCCGCGGCAAGCAGCCCCUGGGAGCUGGUGAUAGGGAGGCUCAGAGCCCCCAGAGGCCCCCACACC